UCACGUGCCCUGUCUUCCCCCCUCCCGCCGGCGAGCGAGGGGCGCCACGGGUCCCGGAGCCUGGGCCGUGACAGCGCCCACCUCCAGCCGGGGGCGUCGGCCGCCGCGGGAUCCCUGCUCCUCCGCGGCCCCCAGAGGCUUGGCCCGCCGCCGCCCAGCCCCCAGGCCAGCGGGCUCCGACCGCGCGGGACACUGGCUCGCUCGCUCGCUCACUCACCACAGUGACCGGGGACACCAUGGCGGCGGCGGCUGACAGCCCGCUCCGGCCGGCAGCCAGGGCCGGGACGCGCCCGCGGCCAGGUGAGGAGGCUACGACGCAACAAAGCCCGGGGUGACGGGCAACGCUGCCCGCGCACCCGGCGCUCGGGGUGCUGUCGGCGAACCCCGCAACGUCACCGCAGCCGCCGCCAAUGCGCGGGCUGGAGCCCGGCGGGGCGAGAUUAGCUGGCGACGCUGGCCCGCCCCGGGGGGCUUCUGCAGGAGGAAAUCAGGCGUCUCCCGGGGGCCGGGAGGCGGGGUCCCCGGAGGCUCCGCCCCUCUGCGAGGCCGCGUCAAAACAUCCCGGAACGUGACCGCAACUCUGGGUGAGGACUCAGCCUGGCUAAGAGAAAAACACUUCCCUGAACUGGGUACAGGACUACACACGUAUUCUUAGAACCCGGGGACAAAAGGCAGCUUUUAAGCUUGCGGUCCCCACGGACACAAUUUCAAUGAAACCUGCAAUCUUCACAAAUGGACACGCAAGGGGCAGCCGACACACAACCUUCAACUUGAAAAGAGACACAUAUAUAGGCACGCAGCAGCUAGAGCAAUUAGACAAGAAAAAGAAGUUAAAAGCAUCCUGACUGAUCCAGGCAUGAACAAAUCAGAAGCACUGCCCCCUUCUCAAAAACAGAGAGCUUAUUCUAAUUUUGUUCAUUGAGCCAGAAACUUUGAAGACAGAGGACCAUGACCCAUCUCCCUUCCUGACUGCCUACUCCAUCAACCUAUGGUUCAUGGGAAGCUCCACUCCCUCAACCCCAGCCCAAGGCAUUCCUACAAGAAUUUCCUGCCCUCCAUGCUUACAGGAGUCAACCUAGGAAUACUGAAAUUCUGACACCUGUUCUCUGAAUUGUGGAUGCCACUUGGAACAGGGAGUUGAGUUCUUGAGUGGCCAGAUGUGGCUCAUGAUACAGGGUCUGCUUCUGGAGACAUUUAGGAGAACUAAAAAAUGUAACAGAAUUCAUCUUUCCAGAUCCUUGGGACUAAAUUUGGUUGGUUUCCUGAGAAAAUAUUGAGUCAGUGUCUCAGAGAACAUUUUGGACCCUUUAGUUGGCCUCUAGGCUUAGGCCAGACACACCUGGAUUCAAGUCCAGGCUUUCCACCUACCAUCUGGCCUUUGGAAAAAGUUUUAACCUCUCUGAGUCUGUUUCUUUUUCUAUAAAAUAGCAUACCUAGCAGGUGUGGUGUAAAGUUAGUUAAUGCAUGUACCACGUCCAGCAUAAUCCCUUACCCAUAGGUGUUGAUUUUUCUUUCCUUUUUCUUUUGACAGGGGCAUCAUCAGACCUUAAGGUGUAAAUGGAUUCCUAACUCUAAAGCUGCAAAACCAAGGAUCUCCUAAUGGGAUUCAAUACCAGGGGUGCCCAAGAAGGGAUCCCUGCUUUGGUUGGGUUGUAUGAGAUUUGAUAGCCUCCAACACCAAACUUCCAAAGUUCCAAGCCCUGUGGAGUCUGUUUUAUAGUUCUUGUGUUAAGGUCAUCCAAGUUCAGCCUUCUCACCAACACCCCCACCCAGACUGUAAGCUCUCAAGGGUUGUUCCUUCCUAAACUUUGGGGAGGAAGUAGAAAUUAGAAACUAGAAAGGAGAAGAGUUUGGGAGUUGGACAGAGGAUGACCUUCAAGAAAAAAAUAUUCUAGAAGAUCCCACUUGUCAAGCCUAAUGACCCUGAAUUAGCAAUUCUCUCCUCAACAUCAGCACCUGAGGGGUCAGUCUUUGGCUAAUUGACCAGAGCAGACUUUGCUAUCUCUUCCUCUCAGAAACCCCAGCUUCACAGACAGAUGAUCUCGCCUUGCCCAAACCCUUCCUCUAGUUGCUUCACUCGAAUGCAAUCAUUAAUCCAUGUAACCAGUAUUUAGUAAAUAUCUACAACGGGCCAGGCUGUAUUUGGGACACAGACUAUGAAAACAACGUUCCCUUUCCUCACGGAGCUCAUGGUCCAGGGAGAGAGGCAGACACCAGGACCACAGCCUCAGCUUCCCAUCUCCAGCCCCACCAACCAACUCACUCCUCAUACCUCCUAGGACCAGAAAAGAAGGCAGUGGCAGCGAAGGUUGGCUGGGCCAGGCCAUGCCUUCCAGGAGAGUCCUCCUGACUGGAAGUGGAGCAAAAGGCAGGAAGGCUGAGGCACCCUUUGCAAGGGCCAGGGAGAGCUGUUUGUGUUACCUUGGUCCUCUCCCUAAACACUUUCCGAUUCCAGCUCAGCUUCCUGUCUCCCAUCCGGAACGGGAAAGGCAUCAUGAAUUACUAUAGGGUUUGAAUUGCAAAAGAAAAAGAACUGGAAUUGUUUUCCACCCUGGUCAGGCUCAGAAAGGAAUGGAAGGCAGCCAUCAAGGGUGGGGAUGCAGAGCAGCUUCCCCAUUUCUCUCCCCCACCCAAGAACUAGAAAAUCAACCCAUUCUUUCCCCUUACCACACACACACACACACCCUCACACCCUAUCCUGAAACAAGUGCCUGAACCUCUGUCAUACAAGGAAGUGUCAUGUGUGAUCUCCCUUGCUGCAGGAAGAGGUGAGGAAACAGGCUGACAAUGUAGAAGGGGGAAUUGUAUUUAUUUAUUUAUUUUUUAAUCUUCAUUUUAUUGAGAUAUAUUCACAUACCACGCAGUCAUACAAAACAAAUCGUACUUUCGAUUGU